rnacentral:rRNA from 1 species
CGUAAGACGCGGGUGACCUAUCCUGGAGGCGGGGAUAACCCAUCGAAAGAGGGGCUAAUACCGGAUGAGCCCACAGGCGGAAACGCGAGGGGGCAAAGGAUGCGAUUUAGUAAGCGCAUGUCUUCUGGGAGGGGCCCGUGGCCUAUCGGCUAGUUGGUGUGGUAACGGCGCACCAAGGCGAAGACGGGUAGCUGGUCUGAGAGGAUGGCCAGCCACACGGGGACUGAGACACGGCCCCG